GCCGGUUUAGCUUAGUGGUAGAGCGUUGCACUUGUAUUCACAAUCCUUGGUAUUGUACAAUGCAAAGGUCGGUUGUUCAAUCCAGCCAACCGGCA